rnacentral:rRNA from 1 species
UACGUAGGGUGCAAGCGUUAAUCGGAAUUACUGGGCGUAAAGCGUGCGCAGGCGGCUUUCCAAGUCAGUGGUGAAAGCCCGGAGCUCAACUCCGGAAAUGCCAUUGAAACUGUGAAGCUUGAGAACGAGAGAGGUGAGUGGAAUUCCCAGUGUAGAGGUGAAAUUCGUAGAUAUUGGGAAGAACACCAGUGGCGAAGGCGGCUCACUGGCUCGUAACUGACGCUCAUGCACGACAGCGUGGGGAUCAAACAGG